AAUGAACGCUGGCGGCAGGCCUAACACAUGCAAGUCGAACGGAUCCUUCGGGAUUAGUGGCGGACGGGUGAGUAACGCGUGGGAACAUACCCAAAGGUACGGAAUAGCCUCGGGAAACUGGGAGUAAUACCGUAUGUGCUCGAAAGAGGAAAGAUUUAUCGCCUUUGGAUUGGCCCGCGUUGGAUUAGGUAGUUGGUGGGGUAAUGGCCUACCAAGCCGACGAUCCAUAGCUGGUUUGAGAGGAUGAUCAGCCACCCUGGGACUGAGACACGGCUCAGGCUCCUACGGGCGGCAGCAGUGGGGACUCUUAGACAAUGGGGGAAACCCUGAUCUAGCCAUGCCGCGUGAUCGAUGAAGGCCUUAGGGUUGUAAAGAUCUUUCAGGUGGGAAGAUAAUGACUGUACCACCAGAAGAAGCCCCGGCUAACUCCGUGCCAGCCGCCGCCGUAA
rnacentral:rRNA from 1 species